rnacentral:lncRNA from 1 species
CCAAAUCGAAAAAAAUAAAGGUUUUGAAAGCGUAGUUUUUGAAAGAAAUCUCGAGAAACCAUUUAAAAAAUUCAGGGAAAACAUGGAUCUAGAACGCUUUUAAAGAAAUCAGAAGAACCUCAAAAGUUGGGGUUUCCGAGGGAACUCAAAUGGUGAGAAAGGCUUGGAGAGUUGUUGAUCUAAGCAGGAGAUGUCGAAAUCAGGCCCGAACAGCCAUGGCUUGCCAGAGCAAGGCGAAGACGGCCAUAGAACUCGAAUCAAAUGAAGCCUGGACCAAGCUUCUUCAUGGUCAGGCCUUGAAUCUUCAGGAACCAGGCGUGCAGGAGUCAUAGGAGGCCGGCAUAAGACUUCGAUGGCCUUGGAAGCCAUAAGUUCCGGUGGUUUUAGGGCGGAAUUAGAGGGAUGCAACUAGGAUUUCUAAGAAAGAGUUUGGGAGAGGGUGCAUCCAUGGGAG